CCCCCACCCCCACUCUCUAAGUUUCAAAUAAUCUUUGUUUUUCGAACUGAAUAAAUUGCCUGCACACUAGGAAUCUGUCACAAGGCGUUUGUUUUUAUUCCCAGAGAACUUUGAUAGCAGAAAACUGUGUAGGAUUCUGUUUGUUAAACCAUAUGGAAACCUUAGUACUGUUCUGCUUGUUCUUGCUCUUUUCCUUUACACAACCAGUUUUAUGUGAUAAGAGUUGCAUCCCUGCAUCUUGUGAUAGUGUUCAUGGGCCGAUAAUCCGCUUCCCAUUCCGGCUGAUAGGCCGGCAACCAGAGCAUUGUGGCUAUCCGGGCUUCGACCUUUCUUGCAACAACCAAAACCAAACAAUUCUUAGCCUUCCACGGUCUGGUGAAGUUGUAGUAGACUACAUAGAUUACACUCAGCAGACCAUUCUUAUCACUGAUCCUGAUCGUUGUGAUCCAAAGAAAAUUCUGAAUUUCAGUCUUUCGGAUUCUCCAUUCGAGGUGAUUUUCACAAGGAAAUACACUUUCUUCAACUGCUCUGCGGUCGGGAUAGAGUUCAUUUCAUUUUCAUAUGAUCUUUUCCCAUUGUUAUGCCUUAGUGGUGUAAACUACACUGUUAUGGCAACCCCUUCGUAUUCUUCAUCUCAACAAAUUCCACAGUUCUGUCGCAAGAUUCCAAUUGUUUCAUCUCUCUACGUUUCUCUGUACUGGACAUCAAUGGAACUCAGGGAGGAUUUUCAGUUGACAUGGAAUGAACCUGGAUGCAGAUCUUGUGAAGCUAACGGUGGAAUUUGUGGGUACAAAGGCAAUAAAGUUCUUGAAGUUGGUUGCUCAAGACCUCCAAAUCCAGGCAAGUUUUGUUCUAUUUAACAUGGGGUACUGAAAAUUUUCCAUAGCUUUGCAUCAGAAUUAUAUCCGGCAGGAACAAAAAACUAAGCCAUGUCCCAAUAAAUUUGGGAUCAGAUGAAUCCCUUUUUUGCACUUGGUUUGGUUUAUUGCUAAUUAUAUGAGAAAAAUUAGUCUGAUCAAUGGGACUAAACGAAAUCCUUUUAAAGUUUGCAUCCAUAUUUCAAAUUCCACGCCCCAAAAAUGUUCUGAAGUUUGCAUGUGAACUCUCCUAAGGGAGGACUGUUAGAUUAGAUUGAUAACAAUAAACCUGUUUUGCACAACAGGGAGGGCUCACAGCUUGUUAAAAAACCUGUGUUUUACUCCAAUUAAACUAUUUUAUUUUCUUCUCAUUUUCGGUAUUUCAAUAGGUAUUCAUUGCCAAACUAUUCCACAGAAGAGUUAUUUUUCUUCUCUGGUUUAAGUUUGACAGACACGUCUCCCACAAGUGACGCUGUUGGCAAUGUUGAUUGAUAUAAAUUACGCUUGGUAGUUAAACGAACCAAUGAUCAGAUAGUUCAGCUGGACAGUGUUUUAAUUAUAAUUCGAAAAACAUAUAUUAGUAUACAUUUCACUGUCAAUCGCUGUCCAAUCUGGUUGUGAUGCCAUUAAUUACGAUUAUUCUUAUUCUGAUCCAACAAAUGGACUGUAAGUGAGAAAGCAUAUGCUGUUCUUCACCUUUUUGUCCUAGCAUGUUCAAGGCCAUUCUUUAAUCCUCAAAAACAUGGUCGUUUGGUCAUGUUUGCCCUUGUUAUAAAAACCAUGUUAUGUAACCUGGGAACCUGUCAAAAGUCUUGUAAGAGACUGAUCUAGACAAUCUAACAAAGUGCUAACGAUAUGUUUAGUACAUUGGAUUGAAUAGAUUCGACAGGAGAAAUGCUUGCCACUCCCUUAUCGACUGGAUUGUGAAGACUGUGAACAGUAGCUUUAGUAAUGUUGGAAUGAGUCAAAAUUGGUGUCCAAAUAAAUAUAAUUGAUUCGUGACAAUAUAUACCUAAUAUGAAAUAAAAUCCUUCAUACAAACUAAGGUGUUGACUUCAGAUUGGAUUGUAGUAUGAUGAUUCAAGGAAGAUUAUUCCACUUGUUGUUUUCCCCCAAUAUUUGUAUUCUUUAAGAAUGUUAUUUUAUAUCUUGGUACUUUUACUCACAGCAUCAGGUCUUCCCAGAAGUGCAAAAUAUGGGAUUAUCAUUGGCGUUGGAAUACCAGGACUCGUGUGCUUAAUCGGACUUGCGUGUUUCGCAUUUGGUAGGAUCAGGGCUUUCAGUCACCGCGGUCGUUUAAACUCUAGCGAGCUCGGAAUCAUCACGAUCUCUCAGCAGCCGGUGGUCGGAGCUGCUGGCCUUGAUGGGCCAACCAUUGCGUCUUUUCCGAAGACAGUGCUCGGGGAGAGCCGGAGGCUUCCGAAGCCUAGUGAUAGCACUUGUCCAAUAUGCUUAUCCGAAUACGAGCCCAAGGAAACAUUGAAGUCCAUUCCAGAGUGCAAUCACUAUUUUCAUAACAAUUGUAUAGAUGAAUGGCUUAAGCUCAACGGCACAUGCCCCGUAUGCCGCAAUUCACCGGAGAGUUCAAUUGGGACGCCUUGCUCAUCAAUGUCUUUCUCAUAUUCAUUGUCAUCAUCGGGCCAUCAUUAGUCCAACAUUUUUCGAUAGCAUUACAUUUACAUUGAUAUACAUAUAUAAUGAAGUUAAUCGAGUUAAAGUGUCAUUUUUGCUAUGUCGUAAAUUCAUAGUUGGAUUAGUAAAUCACUAAAUUUUGUUGAAGUUGUCGGUGGGGUGGAAGCAAGAAUGAAGUUCUGGGUCAUGUUUAGUAUAGAGUACUUAAUUAUGUAAACUACUUUUGACUUUUAUGUAGAUCGCGAGAGGCAAUCUUCGUGGACUUAGAAAUAACUCGGAUACCCUCCUUAAAGUCAAUUUUUGGGGCGACUUCUACCAAAUGUAACUGUAAGAACAUAACAUGAAAGUUUUGUGAAUAAGUAGAGG
rnacentral:lncRNA from 1 species